AUGAACGCUGGCGGCGUGUCUAAGGCAUGCAAGUCGAACGGAGAGAUCGGGUUCGCAAGAAUUUGAUCUCUUAGUGGCAAACGGGUGAGUAACGCAUUGGUACCUACCUUGAAGUUCGGAAUAACGUUCCGAAAGGAACGCUAUACCGGAUGUGUCCGCGGAUCUCAAGAUCUGCGAGUAAAGCCCAAAAGGCGCUUCGAGAGGGGCCUAUGACUUAUCUAGCUAGUUGGUGAGGUAACGGCUCACCAAGGCUAUGACGAGUACCGGGUGUGAGAGCACGACCCGGCUCACUGGACCUGAGACACUGCCCAGACACCUACGGGUGGCUGCAGUCGAGAAUAUUCCACAAUGGGGGAACCCUGAUGGAGCGACGCCGCCGUGCAGGAUGAAGGGCUUCGGCUUGUAACUGCUUUUCCAAGGGACGAAGCUUCGGCUGACGGUACCUUGGGAAUAAGAGGUUGCUAACUCUUGUGCCAGCAGCAGCGGUAAUACAGAGACCUCAAGCGUUAUCCGGAUUUAUUGGGCGUAAAGCGUCCGCAGGCGGCACGUUAAGUCUUCCGUCAAAUCUCUGGGCUCAACCCAGGGGCUGCGGGGGAAACUAGCGAGCUAGAGGUUGGGAGAGGCAAGCGGAAUUACCGGGUGUAGUAGUAAAAUGCGUUAAUAUCGGUAAGAACCACCAAAGGCGAAGGCAGCUUGCUGGAACACUACCUGACGCUAAGGGACGAAGCACGGGGAGCGAAGCGGACUUAGAUACCCGCGUAGUCCGUGCCCUAAACGAUGAGUGCUGGAUUUUGGGAGUAUCGACCCUCCCAGAGUCGUUCAAAUAAGCUAACGCGUUAAGCACUGCCGCCUGGGGAGUACGGCCCGCAAGGCUAAAACUCAAAGGAAUAGACGGGGACCCGCAAGCGGUGGAACAUGUGGUUUAAUUCGACGGGUAAGCGUAGGAACCUCACCAAUGCUUGACAUGGUAACUGCAAAUCUCCUGAAAGGGAGACUCCUUCGAGGGUGUUACACAGGUGCUGCAUGGUUGUCGUCAGCUCGUGCCGUGACCGGUGUACCCUUAUAGUGGGGUAACGAGCGCAACCCCUAUGUCGUGUUGUCAUUUUCACGACAGACUGCCUCGGAUAACGGGGAGGAAGGCGGGGGAUGACGUCAAAUCAGCAUGGCUCUUACGCCUUGGGCGACACACGUGUUUACAAUGGACGGUACAAAGGGCAGCCAAGUCGAAAGACGGAGCAAAUCCCAUCAAAACCGUUCUCAGUUCGGAUCGUGGUCUGCAACUCGACCACGUGAAGCUGGAAUCGCUAGUAAACCGCAUAUCAGCCACGUGCGUUGAAUACGUUCUCGGGUCUUGUACUUCACCGCCCGUCACGUCAAGAGAGUCGGGGGUACCCGAAGAAACGCGAUCGCGUUUCGAAGGUAAAACCGAUGAUAGGGACG
rnacentral:rRNA from 1 species